AUUGAACGCUGGCGGCAGGCCUAACACAUGCAAGUCGAGCGGAGCGGCGGACGGGUGAGUAAUGCCUAGGAAUCUGCCUGGUAGUGGGGGAUAACGUCCGGAAACGGGCGCUAAUACCGCAUACUAUCAGAUGAGCCUAGGUCGGAUUAGCUAGUUGGUGGGGUAAAGGCCUACCAAGGCGACGAUCCGUAACUGGUCUGAGAGGAUGAUCAGUCACACUGGAACGGAGACACGGUCCCGACUCCUACGGGAGGGAGCAGUGGGGAAGAUUGGACAAUGGGCGAAAGCCUGAUUCCGCCAUGGCGCGGGUGGGAAGAAGGUCUUUGGGUUGGAAAGCACCUUAAGGUGGGAGGCGGUACCAACAGAAUAAGCACCGGCUAACUUCGUGCCAGCAGCCGCGGUAAUUC
rnacentral:rRNA from 1 species